AAUCAACGCUGGCGGCGUGCCUAACACAUGCAAGUCGAACGCGAAAGGGGCUUCGGCCCUGACGUAGAGUGGCGGAACAGGUGGAGUAACACGUGGGUGAUCUACCUCUGAGUGGGGAGUAACGUUCCGAAAGGAGCGCUAAUACCGCAUGACGUUCCGGGCUUGAAGACCGGGAAACCAAAGUCGGGGACCGCAAGGCCUGACGCUUGGAGAGGAGCCCGCGCCUGAUUAGCUAGUUGGUGAGGUAAUGGCUCACCAAGGCGACGAUCAGUAGCCGGCCUGAGAGGGCGGACGGCCACACUGGGGACUGAGACACGGCCCAGACUCCUACGGGAGGCAGCAGUGGGGAAUUGUUCGCAAUGGGCGCAAGCCUGACGACGCAACGCCGCGUGGAGGAUGAAGGUCUUCGGAUUGUAAACUCCUGUUGACCGGGAAGAAUGGACCCCGCAUCUAUACUUCGGGGUUAUUGACGGUACCGGUUGAGGAAGCCACGGCUAACUCUGUGCCAGCAGCGCGGUAAUACAGAGGUGGCAAGCGUUGUUCGGAAUUACUGGGCGUAAAGGGCGCGUAGGCGGUCGCCUCAGUCGGACGUGAAAUCCCCAAGCUUAACUUGGGAACUGCGUCCGAUACUGGGUGACUUGAGUUCGGGAGAGGAAUGUGGAAUUCCAGGUGUAGCGGUGAAAUGCGUAGAUAUCUGGAGGAACACCGGUGGCGAAGGCGGCAUUCUGGACCGAAAC
rnacentral:rRNA from 1 species